rnacentral:lncRNA from 1 species
GACUUAUUAACACCAUUAUUUGUAAACUGCUAGCCUGGUUUCCUGUGCUGUUGUAACGCUAUCUUGAUGGGUUGCUGUGAAAAUGUGAAGAUGUCUGUCAGGCAGGAAAAAUUAUGUAAAAAUGAUGUGGGUAUAGAAAAUGGGAUCGACAAAAUGUAAUAAACUCCUCCUGGGCUGAACAGCAGAGCUGCAUAUGUAAUGAAGUACUUUAGGAUUACGUCACCUUUUAUAUAACAUCUGGCAGUGACUUUUAUUUCAGAGCUAAUUUGGAGAAGCCAGGCACUUUUCUCUUCCCCUCCCCAAGACUGCCUUUAUCUGAAAGACGAAAGAAGGAACUGUUACAUUUUGCAUGCAAAGAAAGCCAGAGUGGCUAGAUUACUCCCUUAGGGUAAUGGAGAAAGGAAAAAGAAAUUGAAAAAGGUCAGGUGAACAAAGCAGAAGGAAUGAAGAGGUUUGUGUGAUUCUUAGUGAAAUUGGACCAGUCUAAGCAACCAGACAGUGCAGUUCAGGAAACCAGGCUGAAGAAUGUGAAAUACAUCGCCCAAAGUCAGACACGGAGGAACAACUGCUUCGGAGCUAGCAAUUUCCUGAGCUGGAAUUGCACCACUGGCCUGUAGAAUCCAAACUGUUUUCUACCAGAACAACUCCUUCCCUGCAGGAAGCAGGGUGUGCACAGCUGAACCCUGGUCUGAGAAGGUUGAAGUCACUGACUCAGCCCCAGCAAGGAAGUUGCCCUUCGACUUCUGACCUCUGGCCCUGUUUGAAAACCAACUCAAAUCGUUUUUCUUUUUCAGAAGCUGCUUGCCUCCGCUUCACCUUCCACCAUGAUUGUAAGUUUCCUGAGGCCUCCCAGUCAUGCUUGCCGUUAAAACUGUGGAACU